UGGGGAAUAUUGCACAAUGGGCGGAAGCCUGAUGCAGCAAUGCCGCGUGUGUGAAGAAGGCCUUCGGGUUGUAAAGCACUUUUGUCCGGAAAGAAAUCCUUGGCUCUAAUACAGUCGGGGGAUGACGGUACCGGAAGAAUAAGCACCGGCUAACUACGUGCCAGCAGCCGCGGUAAUACGUAGGGUGCAAGCGUUAAAUCGGAAUUACUGGGGCGUAAAAGCGUGCGCAGGCGGUUUGCUAAGACCGAUGUGAAAUCCCCGGGCUCAACCUGGGAAACUGCAUUGGUGACUGGCAGGCUAGAGUAUGGCAGAGGGGGGUAGAAUUCCACGUGUAGCAGUGAAAUGCGUAGAGAUGUGGAGGAAUACCGAUGGCGAAGGCAGCCCCCUGGGCCAAUACUGACGCUCAUGCACGAAAAGCGUGGGGAGCAAAACAGGAUUAGAUACCCCUGGUAGUCCACGCCCCUAAAACGAUGUCAAACUAGUUGUUGGGGAUUCAUUUCCUUAGUAACGUAGCUAAACGCGUGAAGUUGACCGCCUGGGGAGUACGGUCGCAAAGAUUAAAAACUCAAAAUGAAUUGACGGGGUCAUAGCUGUUUCCUG
rnacentral:rRNA from 1 species